rnacentral:siRNA from 1 species
GAGGAAUGUUGUUUACAUAAGUGA